AUACGUAGGUGACAAGCGUUAUCCGGAUUUACUGGGCGUAAAGGGCGUGUAGGCGGUCUUGCAAGUCAGAAGUGAAAUUCCUGAGCUCAACUCGGGCGCUGCUUCUGAAACUGCAGGACUUGAGUGCUGGAGGGGAUAGCGGAAUUCCUAGUGGAGCGGUAAAAUGCGCAGAUAUUAGGAAGAACACCGGUGGCGAAGGCGGUUAUCUGGACAGUAACUGACGCUGAGGCGCGAAAGCGUGGGGAGCAAACAGGAUUAGAUACCCUCGUAGUCCACGCCGUAAACGAUGAAUACUAGGUGUAGGGGGUAUCGACUCCCUCUGUGCCGCAGUUAACACAAUAAGUAUUCCGCCUGGGGAGUACGGCCGCAAGGUUGAAACUCAAAGGAAUUGGCGGGG
rnacentral:rRNA from 1 species